UACGAAGGGGGCGAGCGUUGUUCGGAUUUACUGGGCGUAAAGGGCGCGUAGGCGGCCCUUCAAGUCAGGCGUGAAAGCCCCGGGCUCAACCUGGGACUUGCGCUUGGGACUGACGGGCUGGAGUUCGGGAGAGGAGAGUGGAAUUCCCAGUGUAGAGGUGAAAGUCGUAGAGAUUGGGAAGAACACCGGUGGCGAAGGCGGCUCUCUGGACCGAUACUGACGCUGAGGCGCGAAAGCGUGGGGAGCAAACAGG
rnacentral:rRNA from 1 species